GAAAGAGCGACAGAGCGAGAGCGCGCUAGAGAGCACAAACAGAGAGAGAGAGACAUAUGGAACAAACAGAGAGAGAGGGGGGAUGGUUUCUUCCUCUCCUGUUCUACUCUGCAGCCUGUUUUGGCCCGGGCCCAGAAUUCUGCUGCUUCUGGUAACCUGGUUCCAUAAAGGAAAGGCCCAUGGCUACAGUGAGUAACAAACACAUCCUAUCCCAUCAUCACUCAACUUGUCCCAAGCAUAUAUGCGAGCGCACACACAGUGACGCGCUUGAAUAUAUGCAUGCACAUCCCAGUUGUACACACUAACACACACACAAACACACACAGGCAGGCACGCACAGGCAGACAGGCAGAGACAGGCACGCACAGACAGACAGGCACACACAGAGACAGACAGACAGACAGGCGCUCACAGACAAAGACAGACAGAGAGAGACACGCCCGCACAGACAGAAAGGCAGACAGAACAGCUUGCCCGUCCGACAGGCAGACCCGCCGACACACACACCCGCCGACACACACACCCGCCGACACACACACACACCCGCCGACACACACACACACCUGCCGACACACACACACACCUGCCGACACACACACCCGUCGAGACACACACAAGAGUAUGUAGAGAGGUGAUGGGGUGGCUAGAAGACAGUGUAGAGAGGUGAUGGGGUGGAUAGAAGACAGUGUAGAGAGGUGAUGGGGUGGCUAGAAGACAGUGUAGAGAGGUGAUGGGGUGGCUAGAAGACAGUGUAGAGAGGUGAUGGGGUGGAUAGAAGACAGUGUAGAGAGGUGAUGGGGUGGAUAGAAGACAGUGAAGAGGUGAUGGGGUGGAUAGAAGACAGUGAAGAGGUGAUGGGGUGGAUAGAAGACAGUGAAGAGGUGAUGGGGUGGAUAGAAGACAGUGAAAAGAGGUGAUGGGGUGGAUAGAAGACUGUAGAGAGGUGAUGGGGUGGAUAGAAGACAGUGAAGAGGUGAUGGGGUGGGUAGAAGACAGUGUAGAGAGGUGAUGGGGUGGAUAGAAGACAGUGUAGAGAGGUGAUGGGG
ensembl:lncRNA